CUCCCCCACCCACGACAGUCUUACUUUCACUUUCAGCGGUGCUCGUGGCACAGGAGCUAUUUCAGGAGAUUCUGAAAUUAUCUUGUGUGUCCAGCAGAGGGACGUUAUGCUGAUUUAAGUAGCAGGUGAAGUCACAGGUUUUAAACCAGCAGCUGGUCUCCAGUGAGUCCCUGACGUUUCCAGAGUGACAUUAUGGGAAUUUCAUCAUCUAAUCAGCCUGAUAGUGGCAGUGGCAGCAGCAGCAGAGGUGGCGGCG